UUGUUUUUUUAGAAAACUAUGGAUUUUGUGUUGGUUAUCUAAUAUCCAACCUCUAUCAUUCUCAGAAAUCACUCAAUUUCAAAAGAAGUGACUGUCCUUCUCAACUCUGAGUGUCAUGCUGCUUCUGUUGGAAUUAAUGGUUCAUCCAAACUGCAGGUGCUGUUAGACCCUGAGCCUAGGUGCAGGCUGUGGCUGCAUUCUGCGGUGGAAUAAGGAGAUCUUUCUAAGUUGUGAAUGAAAACAGUACCUCCAUUCAGGAAUACUGAUCAUAUACACACUGACCUCUGAGAAAAAAAGAAGAAGCAUUGCAAAAAAACUAACUACGCAUGGACUUACACUCCUAGGUGGGGAUGCAUUCCAAUAUAUUUUCAGGAGUUUCUCAGAUGAAAUGUCUCAGUGAAUAGGACAACUCGAUGAACACGUCAUUUAUCUUGUCUGUUACGUCUGGUAACAUGCAAGAGAGAAAACAUAAUUUCUUUAGCCACCAUCCAAGAAUAUUCUGUAUUUUCCUAAGAAACAAUACAAAUAAAUAGCAGGUAAAU